rnacentral:lncRNA from 1 species
AAAGGAUAAGUCUCACAAAAUUCUAUUUUUGAAAAAAUGAAUAUCAGUUGAAUUUUGUUGAACUCAGGAAACGAGAGACAAAAGUAGAGAGGUAAAGGUUUUGCUUUUUUGACUAACCAAAUAAAAGAACUUACUCUCUCCAUCACAAGAAACAGCAGAAUAAGACAGGAUAGUGGGAUUAUAUAGGUGGGUGGGUGAAGUCAGAGAUCAAAGUUUUGAUCUUUUCUCUUUACAGGCACACCAUAAGAAUUGAACGGACAAAUAAUCAAAAUCACCAUUUUUCAAGUCAAAUGGUACUCUGUCAUCAAAUUCUCAGGUUAGAGCUUGAGCUUGAAACAGAUAAGGACAAUAUCUCGAUCGGUACAAAGCUUGUUCGAUGGAAUUCGAAUCCGAAUGAGAUUUUGUUGUCUUAAUAUUAGUUAAAAGAAAAUAUAUAUGAACUAAACGAUUCAAUAACUAAUUCAACAAAGAAUAUACAGAAAAGUGGGGGAAAGAGAGAUUAGGGGCAAUAUGCUCAUUCAUUUAGUUUUAGGUUAUUUUCAUUGUUUUUGAAAUCUAAGUUAAAGGAAAAUUUGAUCUAGUCUAAUUUGUCAUGUUCCUACUUUCUGAGUAAGUGUUUCAAACAAAAGACCAAUUCAUAAACAUGAAACAAAUACAGUGAGCGUUUUCUUCUUCAUUCAAAACCUUCCAUGCCACAGCUUUCUCAUAGGAUACUGCCCUUCCCAUGCUUGAUAAGCAGACACCCCCUUGAAGACAAAUGAAGCCCUAAAAUAACACAAAAAAAAUGGAUUACUUAAAUGAAUGGUCCAGGUAAGGAUGCUUGUGGAUACAAACUAAUGAAUUAAGAUUUUUGCCUAAUCCAGGGCAAGCAUGCUUGUGGAUAUGAACUAAUCAAAUUACUCAUGGUAAAAAUACAAAAAGAAUUGCAGAUCGUUGUCUAUCAUUUGUUUGGCUAUCAUUGGGUUCGUAGGGAAAGAAGGGAUUCGUUGGCUAUACCUGCUGCAUUAUCCGUGGGAACUCUGAAGCUAAAGUUUUCUUUCCAUUGUCAUCAAAAAUCUUCUCCAGAGUGAUGUCUUGGAGAGCCACCAGGGUUGUCUCAAGCAUGUCAAGUCCAGAUUGAUUUGCAAAUGUAAAAUUUGGCAAUGCCUGGGGAUGUUCACAAGAUAGGAUAUAACUUCAUGUAAAAACAGAGAAAAGUGAAGACUUGAGUAAAUUACAAAUGGAAGCAUACUAUUCAACAAAAACCUUAAGCAUGGCACCAUGUUCAUUAGGCUUUAGUUCUGUACAUUUUAUUUUUUAGUUUUUGGAAUCUUCCAUUUAUCUUAAUCAAGGUUGGAGUCUCUUUUUUUUUCACUUUAAAAAAAGAUCUUACUAUAGGCAGAGAUAUCUCUGAUAUUUAACUUCAAAGAGAAUUUUAAACAUACCUUCAAAGAGCAGCACAUGACUGCAUCUGAGUGAUGCCAAAGGGAUUUCAGAACGGACUCUCUUCCUUCAUUUUUCAGUAAUUCCAUGCCCAUAUAGCACCUGUAGGGAAGAAUAAAAGUAGAUUGGAAUCCUUCUAUUAGCCUCUUGCCUUAUAACAUAUGUAUAAGAGAAUAAAGCCAAGGAGGGAUGAAUGAGUUUAGUUCACAGUAGUAAGAAUGCCAGAUACUCUAGCUUGGUUAAGACUUUUGAGAAGACACGUGUAAGCGAAUCAAAAUCAAUUCAAGACAGAAUUCAAAAUCUAUGACAGAAAACAAAAGGGAUCAAGACUUUUAGAAAAGACAUAAUCAAAUUCUUAGGUUUAUGUUUGAACGCAGAACUUCUAUACUUCACUAAAAUAUGAACACCGUUCAUAUUCAGGCAUUAUAAUGUUGAACUUCCUAGUUCACAAGGUUGUAAUUAGGGAAGCAAUUGGUUCAAUAAAAUAAUUACUAGAAUGCAAUGGAUUCCAAGAUACAAAUAAUUGGUUUACAUUAGAGAAGACAUAUGUCUAUGUUCUAUUAGAUACUGACCAUUUUUUAAUACCAAAGAUAUUGAUUGAUAUACAGGAACAAAAGGUAGAUCUAAUCCACCCUACUACUCGAUAGGCUUCCUCCUAUUUUGUCAUUAAAGUAAUUUUGAAUUGAAUAUUGAAUGAAAAUAUUAACAGCUAAGGAUUUUUUGGAAUACCUAUAGCUUUGAGUGAUCCAACGAGCAAGUGUUUGUGCUUCAGGAGCACCAGCUGGUGUCUGAAGGUUAGCAUGAGGACCAAAAUUUGAAGGGGAAAGAGCCAGUGCCACCCUUUGAACAGAUGCUAUAAUGCUCCUGACAUAUUGCCGUGCCAUUGCUGCAACAUUAUCUUGAAGGUGAACAUCAAAUACAAAUUGGAAUGCAAUUGUCAUCACAGAUUUUGAUUUUCCUGAUUGACCAGCGCAAUCACCAGAAGCUCUAUUCCCUGCAGGUCCAACAUCAAGAGCCGAAGCAAGAUCGAGUGUGCGGUUUGGACUUGAAGCAUCCUGUAGAAUAAGCAAAUGUACAAAUUUUAUAUCCAAACGAAUACAAUUGCAGAGAAUGGAGAGGAGAAAAUAGGAGAAUUGCUUUUAAAUGCUUACCAUCCCAGAAUCGAGAGGAAUGAUGCGGAAUCCAGAUGGUAGAAUAGGUGCAUCAUCAGAAAAAGAGGCAUCAAUUGGAGCAAAGAUGAGUUCAGCCGAAGUACCAACUGUAUUUUCGUCCACACCGUUGCAAAGCUGCGAGUAGAGCGCCAUAAUUAAUAACAGUGGUCAGUGACAAAUGACAACAUAGAUUUGAGAUGUACAGCACAAGUAUCCAUCUAAGCUUUAUAAUAUGAGAUUCUAGCUUAAACCCAGACUCAAUAGUUGACAUUAAUUUAUAUAAUUAAAGAAAUUACUGCUUACUUGGAGGAGGAAAAUGUCACCAGGCAUAAGCAUAUCAUCCCUAUAAUGGCCCACGUUUUCAAAUUUAACAACUUCCAUAAACUGUUACCAGAAAGAAAAUUUAAAUCAAUAUUUUGAAAUAACAAAGAAAACAUGGGGUAAUAGGAUAUGUUAUACACAAAAUUGAUGCCAUGGGAAGUUAUUUCUGUUUAUAGAUGGUUGAAAAGACGGUACUUGCCUCUUCAUGCUCAACUGUUUGCGCCAAGGGAAGAAUAACCUGACCCCCAAAAGUUCCAGCAUGAGACCCUGGUAAACCACACUGACCGGUCUUAAUUGCUGCUGCUGAGUAAGCAUCAAUACUGCUGUCUGCCCAUUCCGAUCGGUGUUCUCUCAAGAACCUGAUGAGCAUUGCUGGAGUAACAUUCUACAAAAUAAGAAAGAUAGCAAGAACAAUAAGAGAAACGAAGAGCAGGUAAAAAUAUACAAGAAUAAAAGCUUCCAAAGAAAUAUCUUGUGCUGAGAGUGGUUAAGCAUAAACUUGGUAAAGAAAAACUAGCUAACACAAUGUUAGUGUCAGUUGGGUGAGGUUUAACCUCAGUCGGAUUUUUAUUUAAACUCUUUCAUAAAAGAUCACUUGUUUUCCAUCAGCAUACAGUGUCCAAGGCAUGUCCUAGUUUUGAAUCAUCAGAAAUGGAGCAAAAAUAGAGAAGAUGGCACUGGUUGAAAAAGAGAAUUCUCCAAUAUUUAUGAUUGAUGAAGUGGUAGAACGAUUUGAUGUAUUAUAAUAUAGAACCUUCUCAAUUGCUCAACAUCAUCUACAUGUCAGCUCGCUAGCAAAAUAUUUACCUGUAAUAACAUUGACGCUUUGGCACAAAGCACAGCAUUGCUCAUGGAUGGAAAGCCAUUAGAAUAUGAAAUAUUUGCACCCAUCAUUGUCUUGCCAUGAGACAUGUUUACAAGAAGUGUAACAUCAUCAACGCCAUCAUUUUCUAACAAAGACCAUCCCUCAUCUGUAAACCCAUUAACUGCUUCGUUGAAACCUCUGCAGAGUAAAAUCCGUUGAAUACAAUUAAGGAUUCCACACCCAAAAGUGAAGGGAAUGUUUAAAAAUAAUAUGGGCUACUUCCAUUGCCACAUGGUUGUAAGAUGGAACCCCAUGCUUCUCUAAUAAGCUACUCUCGAGCCAAAAUCAUAUUUACCUGCUCAAUUUCUGACUAAGAGCACGAAGUGCAGCAGGUCUUCUUCCCCAACCAGUAACAUUUGGUUGAGAAACUUCUUGUGAAAUCUGCCUCAACAAGCGUAAUGCCUGGUCCAAAAUAACGAAAUUUUAUUGUUAUUGGGGAUACAAUCUUCAAAUUUACAUGGCUGUUCAAUUUCCAGUUUUCCAUUUAUAGAGCCAUCGGAUAAAUUCAAGACCUGAAGCAAUAAGAUGAAAAGAAAAAAAAGACUUACUGCCAUUGUGUUCUUCUGAGCAAGCAGAGUAGAUGACUUGUACAAUGGCCGCAAUACUUCAGGCACGCUCCAAGGCUAUAUUCAUGUAAACAAUAGGUAAAAUUAUAAACGUGAAAAUCAGAGGCUAAGGAUAACUGUACUUUUAAAUUCAAAGUUUUACAUACGUCUAAGUCCAUGUGAUCGACUAUAUGGAUUAUUGAUCCACCACCUUCACAAGGUCUUAUCAAAUAGCCACUUGGUAGCAUUUCUGCUCUUACAAAGUUUUGGACUGGAGGCAUACUUGGACCAUUCUGAGUAUUGUUGAGAGAUCUUUCACAGACCUAAAAUGCAUAACACAGCAUAUUACAUAAAACAUUUAGACCAAAGUAGCAGAAGCAAUGUCCAAGGUGAGGCCAUUCACAUACCACAAGACUACCAUCCUCCAAAACCGAUGUGUAUCGCAGCAGCCAGAAAUCACGAGCAGGUGCCAAAGUAGUAGGUGCAUAGAGCUAAACCAAAUCAACAAAAGUUUUUUUCAUUUUCAUAUUUUCUUGCAAAGUCUGCAAAUUUGAUACAAGCAAUCUAGUAUCUAGUAGUAACCCACCUGCAUGUACAGAAGCUCAAUGGUUCCUCCAUUUCCAGUAGAUAGGACAUUUAGAACAUCAACGGCACGGCAAUCGCGAAACCAAGAAGGCCAAUCUUUAAGAAUUUCAGCCACCUUCAUGAAACAAACAAUAUAAAUUAGAUACACUCAUACGUGAUGAUACAUUAGACAAAAAGUUAAUUACUUUGUGUUUAGAAGCACUUACUCUUGUAGGUUCUAGACCCACAAGUCCGCAUGCACGAGCAGCAACUCCAGUGCAUCCAUGAGAAAUAGCAACGAUUCCAAUGGAAUCCGGACCAGGCUGCUCACAACAGACAUUGAUAAAAAUCAGAAAUUUUGAGAAUAACAAUUUUGAAAUUUUUUUCGCCUUUUAUUUUCUAAAAUAAUGUUUGUUUUGGUUUACAUCUAUGAUUUAAUUAUUAGCAAAAUUUAAAAACAAAAACUAAUUCUUUGGUUUCAAAACUUUGCUUGAAAUAGAAACAUAAUUUUCAAAAAUCAAAUUCUAUAUUCAUCUCUAUUCCAGGACGCUUUGAACUGUCCUACAAAAAAUCUGCCUUCCAAAAGAAAUUAAUAUUUGUUUUCUCAUGUUCCCUGUCCUCUUGUUAUCAUUUAAAGAAAUAAUAAUGCAUGAUCUUUGUUGAGUAGUCAUAUUAAAUUUACAACUCCAUGAUUCUCAAACUUAAUAAAUCUUGCUCUUUUGCAUUCCUCGAGAAGGGAAAAUACAGAUCAGAAUAGAUGUGACAUUAGCAGAGAUGAAAGUAACAGACAACAGAGCAAAAUUUUCAAAAGGUCUCGAUGAUCGGGUCAUCAAGAUAAUAGACUUUGGUAUGUUGCUUAAAAGAUUAGCAAAGUUUUUGUCGUUUAAUUAUUAUGGCAGUAAAAAAAGAUUCAUUUUUAAUUGCAGAUUAAAGAAUAAAGCAAAAAGAAGAAGUAACCUUCAUCCCAGGCAUUUGGACCCACUCCACAGCAGUUCCAGUAGCCUUUGAAAGAAACUCUGCUAAAGUCUCCUCCGCAAUGGACAAAAGUCUAGAAAUAUGCAAACCCAAAGUCUCAGAAAGCAUAUUACAGAAGAAGAGUUUCUAACACAAAGAACAACACAAGAAACAAAAGGAGAUUGAAGGGAAUGGUAUAAUGAUCAAUAAGAAAUGCUAAUUCUACUAACCCUGCGGGACUGGCAUCCUUUGGUGGAUGCGGCGGAGUCAAAUUCUGCUGACCACUUGUCACCACUGACUCGCAACUUGUGUCAGUGGUGGCUAAGGUCGCCUGCAAGAUGAACAAAUUACUUUCAUUUCAGCUGAUAAGAAAUGUAUUUUUAAUUCAAAAAAGGGAAAUAGCAAAAUGAAAUCAGUAAUCAUCUUCUUCAAACGAGCAAUUAUUUCAAAGUCAUGGAAGAAUGUUCUUACAUUCUGGGUUUGUUGACGAAAAUAGCUGUUCUCAUACACAAGCUGUGACACUUGUUUCUGCAACCUAUCGUUUUCCUCCAUUAGGAGUCUAUUCAUAGCUGUCAGUUUCCUGUUCACAGUUUGAAGGCGUGAUGCUUCCUUCCUCUGCUUCUCUCUACAUCUAUACAGUAUAAAAAUAAAAAAAACAAAUGAAACCUCUGUUCCGGAAACAAAAAUUUAGGAUGUUGGAAUUUCAAAAUUGUAACCCACUAUCAAAACCCAGAAAGGAAGGAAAUAAUUAGAAAGAAUACCUCCGAUUUUGGAACCAAACUUUGAUCUGUUUGGGUUCGAUGUUGGAGAGAAUUGGGCACUCCCUUAUAAGCUGUUGGCGGCGCAUAGAACUGGGUUUUGGACAUUCAUAAUAAAGCCUCUCAAGUGCUUCCACUUGCUCCGGUGUGUACCUAACGUACUUCCCAUUAUCCAAGCUGCUCAUCUUGCUAGCAGCGUCCUUGCAGGCAGAGGUUACAGCCAUCAUCCCCACUUAAAAUUCCCAUACAAAAAAACAAACAAACACCUUUCAGCUACCAAAUAUCUUAGCAAAAGAAGACCAAACAAAGAAUAAAAAAUUACCAGAAAACGAAGACGACCCUUUUUAAUCGAAGCAGAGUUGCAAUGAAUCAAACACAACCCCUCUGUUUUUCCCUUCCCCCCUCCCUUCCACCCACCAACUCAUAUAAAACACAAAAUGGCCAUAAGAGUCCCAAAAAAUCAGCCAAGAAUGGUCGAAGAAAUGUUAAGGAUAUGAAGAAUUGUGAAAUGAAAAUGAAUAAAGUUGGAAGUAUAAGUAACAGGUUUGGCAGAAAGGAUCAAUUCAUAGAAUACUCUGUUGAUUUUGCUGCGAUUGUGUGUUUGUUUGUUCGUGAAAUUUGGUUUGGCAAUCUCCCACUAUGGACUUCACUAAAUAAGAUUUUAUGGUCUCCCCUCUCCCCUCUCCCCAGUGUGUUUUUCUUUCUUUGUGUUCUCGAGAGAAUGAAAAUGGCAAUCUACCGCGUGCUCAAAUAGUAAUAUAAAUUUGAAAAAGUGAGUUUAUAUCCUAUUUCCGUCACCAUCAUCUAUACUUUUAGUUUUUGUCUAUUUCCAUUUUUUCUAUUCUCAAAAAUCUUUGCUUUGCUCUCCUUUUCUCUUUUUUUCUCUUUCUCACCCACUUUCUUGUCCACUCCUAAAAUUACAUCUUUACACUUUGAGUACAAUUCAAUUUAUAUGCCUUCAAAUAUCAUCACUCCUUUAAUCCAUUUCAAAAAUCUCUCUCUCUCUUCAUUUUUGUGAAGAACACGGCUGACUAACCAACAUUCAACCCACUAUCAUCCAUUUCAAUUCUAAAGUAAUAAACAUUAAUCCAACUUUUAAUCGAUUUAGAUUUAGAUUAAAAGGUUCAUUUCAAUUUUUCUCACAUCCACCAUCGGUCGAACCUAUCUUAUUUAAUUAGAUUCGUUUUAGUUGGUUGACUCCGUUUUUUAAAACUAUACAAUAUACAUAAAAUGAUACUACUAGUAGUAUGAAAAUAUUAUGAAAAAAAUCUAGAGGUGAUCGGUAUUCUUUAUUUUAAAAAUAAUUAGUUAACAUAUUGAAUAUAAGUUCAAACAUUUUGAACACAACCUCUUAAUUAAUAGUUUAGAGUUAAUCUCCAUAAUUGGUAUUCUUUAUUUUUAAAACAAUCGUUUUCUAUAGAUUUAUUUUCCUUUUAAUCUCAAGUUUCUUUCAAUAAUUAAAAAAACAAACGGAUAUACCUUUUUACCAAAAGAGUUUACAUAAUUUGUAUUCCAUUUUAUAAAUAUAGAAAACCAAAACAAUUGAUUUAUUUUGGAAUGUUGUCAACGAAAUCGACAUUUGAAAAGUAUAUAAACUUUUCUAAAUUUAAAAAGAAACCAUAAUAAUCUAAAUAUUUUUUAGUCGAAUUACAUACAAAUGAUAUAUUCAAACAUUUGAUUUAUCAUACGUGUAGAGUAUCGAAUAGACCGAAUGAAUUAUUCGAACAACAUUAGUGUUAGAGAAGACAAUGUUAUUUAAAUGGUCCAAAGAAAAAGUCAUAAAUGCACAUUAAUCUAUAUAUAUAUAUAUAUUGUUUGUAGCAUUAAAAUUUGAAUGAUUGGAAAAUGAUUCAAAAGAGUUGGGUGAUAGGAAAGGUGGGGUUGGCAUUUUCAAAGGGAAAGAAAGAAAAAAGGUGAUAGAAAUAGAAAUUAUUUUUGGUGCCUUCUUGAUGGGAUAUAUAUAUAUUCAUUAUAUCAUAUCCCUAACCAACUUAAUUUAACUAACUAAGCUUUGAUCACCAUCAAAAUUAGGGACCCAAUUCAUUGCUUAUUACUCAAAUCAUCUACAUAUUUUCUUCUUAAAACUAUAUAUCUAUAUAUAUAUAUAUAUAUAUAUAUAUAUAUAUAUCUUACAAACGUUUUAUCAUGUGAUUCUAUUUCAUUUUGUUACCACAAUUAGUGCAUUAAAAAAUGAUAUCAUGAAGUUGAAUUUGUGUAUCAUAUGACUUGUUGGAUAUAUAUAAGUUGACAAACCGAAUAUCUUAAUUAACUACAAAUCAAUGGUUUGAUUGACUCUUUUAAUUAACAAACAAUUGAAUUUUGAUGUCUCCACUAAAUUAUUAUUAGACAAUGUUUUGAUGUUAAUUAAUACAAUUAAGUCUACUAAUUUUAAAAUUAUAACACUUUUUAAAACUCUACUUCUCCUUAAGAAAAAACUCGUGGUUUUAUCACUCGUAGACGUACGUUUUGUAUUGUUUCUCCUCCCGCAUCAUUAUUAAAAGUUCAGUUUAUCGUAAUGUUAGUUAUUUUUCAAUUUGGUCUAAAGACGACGACACUCAACUAGCUUUUAAUUCAAAGAUAAGAAGUGUUACAAGGGGAUCAUCAUCGAUCGAGUCCAUAACUUUUUAGUCAUUUAUCAAAAAUUUGUCUCGUUUUUAACUAACAACAAUAAUAAUAAAUAGUAGAAAUUAAUAUAAGAUUGUAAAGAUUAGAACCAAAUGUAUUCACCUAACUUUUGUUGAAAUUAAUCCUAAUAAUUUAUGCAAACAGUAACCCCCCUUGAUUAAUGGGUCAUUAAGCAGACAAUGGCAGACCAAACCAAAUGCUGCUUUUUCAUUCCUAUUUCUUAUUUUUGUUUAUUUAAAUAUUUAUAUAAACACUUAAAAUAUUUUAAUAAUAGAUAAAUUUUGCUAUAUUUUAUCUAAAUAUUUUAUUAUUUAAAAAAAUUAUUAUAUAAAUAGGAUAUUGAAAAAAAAGCAAAUCCUAAUCUGACCAUAAAAGAAGGACUCUAAGUUUUAGUGUAUGAAUUUAAAAUGAAGUAUUUCUUUGUUUGUAGGCCACACCACUUUGCAACUAUUAUUAUUAUUUACAUUGCACUUCUAGUUUUAAUAUUCAUAAUGUGCUCAAUUAUUAAACAAAUUAUAUAAUUUCCAAAUGAAAAGAAGGCAGCUUGAUCCAUCUGUGGUUUUCCUUUUGAAAUUAAUUUUUGCACAAAAGCUAUCUACUUGUCCUUUUAAUUAAUAUAUAUUGAUUUCUUCUCAAUAAAUUAUUUGCACGGUGGAACCUAUUUAAUUACAUUUUUACUUUUAUAUUUCAAAAAAAUAAAAAAAAUUAAAGAGAGUUGUAUUUUAAAUUAUCUUAUUAUAUCAACAAUUGGUGUUUUAAGAAACUUGUUUUUAAAUAAUCAUAUUAUGUGAUCAAUUUUCUUUAACUAAAAAUAUCAAUUUAUAAAAUAUAACAUUAUUUUUAGAUUUUAUGGAUGUUUAUUUGUAAUAGAUUUUUUUCUUUCUUUUACGUGGUAAUUAUCCUAAAAACAAUUCUUUAAUCACCCAAUUGUGAUUAAUAUUUUAUAAAAAUAAAUGGUUGGACUUUCAAAGGUGGUCCAAAUUUAUAGAAUAAUAUAUUAAAAAGAAAAGAGAGGAAUAUACAUCAUUUAAAUAAAUAAUCUUUUCAGAUUCAAUUUCUUGUUUAUUGAUUCACUCAACUACACUUAUCAAAUCACAAAACUAUAUAUAUAUGUAGUCAAAUUGAUUGAGAUAGGAGUUCGAGGUGUAAUUUAGAAAAAAAGUAUUAAAAAAAUUACAUAAAUAAGACUUGACAAAUAUAAUUACUAUUAAGCUCUCUACAAAUAUUAAAUAUUAAUUAAUUUUUUUAUACAUGAUAUAUAUAUAUAUAUAUAUAUAUAUAUAUAUAUAAUAUAUAUAUAUAUAUAUUAUAUUUUGUCCUUCUCCCGGGUGUUAAGGUGAAUAAUUAUUUCUUUCAUUUGUCAAAACGAAAUGGUUUGACAUCCAAAUUUAUUUUGAUUUAAAAAGGAAAAAAAAGGUAAAAUAGUAUUGAAAAAGAAGAGAAGGGGAAUUGGGAAGAACGUGAAGAGAAAGGGAAGGUGUGUGUGUGUGGACCACACGUGUGGACCCGAAAGAAAGGAUUGGGGGAGGGGGGAGGGAAGCAGUAAGCACGCGUGACAUUUGUUAACUUUAUAAUCGUGCUCCCAAUACUCUAAUUCAAAAGCAGUGCGCUUUCUUUCACAAAUACAAAUACAAAUACAAAUAAACCCCCAUUUUUUUUCCUUUGAAUAUAUAGUCCAUGAAAUAUUAAAAUGAAAUUAGAAGAGAAGGCAUUUUAAGAUUGGAAAAGAAAUAGAAGAGGUAGAGGUAGAGGUAAAAAUAAGAGAGGUGAGAGGUGCGAGGUGCAAGGUGCGAGGAGCGGCGCAUGUAAGAGAUGGGGAAGGAGAAAAGAGGGAAUGAUAGAAGGGGACCCAGAAGGGGGGUGUCGCUUCUUUCGGCGUAUUAGAGUUUGCGCCAAAAGACCCGUAAGGGACAUUCUUAUGGGUAUGUGGGGACGUUGUGUUUCCCCAUUUUUAUGUAUUUACCCUCUCAAACUUUUAAGUCUUAACACACACAUUUACACUCAAAUGUAAAAAUAAAAAAGAACUAUCUUCUUAAUUUAAAAUAUUUCUGUUCCUUAAUUACCUAACAACUUUCACUUAUUCUACCCUUUGUCUCCUCCUUGGGGUUUUCCCAUAUAUUCCCAACCCUCAAAAUUAUAUCUUUUACUUCACAUCAACAUAACACACACAAACACACCUUUUUCCUUUUCUUUUUCUGGAUAUAUUUACCACUUCUCAACUCAAUUUUCAACUAACCUUACGUGGGAACCAAUCGAGCUAUGCUAAAUAUGCAAUAUAAACCAUAGAGGAAUGGAGGGUGUUUGAUUUAAUUGUGUUUGUGAUUUGUAUGAGAUUCAUUACGUUUAUGGUUAUUGUUACCAACCAUGUUAGAUUUAUGAAUCUAACAUAUUUUAUUUGUACCUUUAAAUUUAUUUGUUUUUGUGUUAGGGUUAAACAAUAACAAUAAGUAAACAUGAACAAAAGUAGUGCAAUUAUGUUUUUCAAUUCAAACUCGUUACAAUUUGAUUCUAUCAAUUGAACAGUGAACAUGGUUUGAAUUUUAAUUAUAUCUAAUAUCACGUUUUCUAAAGCUUUAUGAGUGAAUUUUUUCAAGAAGAUAAAUUCAAGAUAUAUGUUAGAUUUGGAGAUCGUAUAAGUUAGUAUGAUGUAAUCAAAUCAAGAUCUACAGCAUCUUAAUUUUAAAAAACCCAACAAAUCAAUUUUUAUGUUGAGAAAAUAUCAGAAUUCAAAAUUCUCAGGUUGUGGUUUUAAAGUAUCAUUUUUUCAAUGUUUUUAGAUCAAGCAUUUUAAACAACAAACCAUUGUAGAAUAAUGAUUGUUUUUCUUUUUCUAAAAAAUAUGUAUUGCUUUUACAAAAAGAAAUCCAAUCACUUUCCUCCUAAAUCAUCAGCUCACCAAAAAAAAAAAAAAAACACCAACAAAAAUGAAAUUAAAACAUUAACAAACUUUUAAUUCCAAAUAUAUAACUUUCAACGGAAUUAGAUUCAAAAGGCUAUUAUAGGAACAAUACAAAAUUUUAUUUUGAAGAUCUCUCAGCAUCUGAAUGAAAAUUAGUGUAAUUGUAAUGUUAGUCAAUCUAAAUGGCUUAUUGUUGUUCUAGUUCUCGUUCUUUCAAAUGGGACCCAUUACUACUCAUUUUGCUGUCUUUCAUUCCCAUGCUUUCUUCAGAUUUUGUUCCCUCUGUGUUCCUACGUUUAUUCAAAUCAUUGGUGACGUUUUUUUCACAAUGUUUUUUAAAUUUUAGACUGAAGUUUUGUGGUUUUUUAGUCCAAUGAAAACGGGUUUCAAAAUUAAGGAAGAAGACGUGAUUCUUAAGUUUAAAAAGACUUCAGUCUCUGCCGCGCAUGCCGUUAACGACAGCUAACAAAGAAACAACAUUAAGUCCUGACUCUCUUACAAACCUUUAAUAUAUGUGUGUGUGUGUGUGAGAGAGAGAGAGAGAGAGAUUAGAACCUUCAUUUUCAAUAAUAUGGGGGACAUGAUUUCAACUGCCAAUGAGUAAUAAACAAGAUUAAUUUCUGUUACAAAUUAUAUCAAAUUCACAAGGGGAGAGAGAGAGAGAGAGAUUAGACAGAAUUGGAAUCAGGUUGUGUUCAGCAAUCUUGAGGUUCAAUUUUUCAGUCGCACAACUUUUAUUAUAAGAUAAAAUAAGAACAAACGAAUGUGGCAAUCAUUAUAAUAUAACCAAUUCUUCUUGUACCCUAUUUAGUUUUUAAAAAAAUCAAAGUUACUUGAAGACAAAACUGCUUCUGCUUGUAAGCUGUCUAACGUGUUCUUCAGGGUGGUGUAAGUUCAUGACAACGACGUUGUUUUGAAAAUAACAUUAAUGAUAAUAUGACUUCUUCCCAUACACAAGUCAAGAACAAACAAAGAUGUGAUAUUGAGAACCUAAUAAAGUCAAUAAAAGUGGCUAUCAUUGAAUUUGUUGUAUUUAGUGAGGGUGAUUUCAUAAGGAAUUUGGGUUCCACUCUCCCAUUUGGAAUGGAAUUCCAUACAUUUGCAUUACUUCAGGUUCAAAAUCGGUCCAGUAUACAACUUUACAGAACUCUCACGACACAAAUGAAAAAACUCAGGAUUGAAAUGUCAGUUUAUAAUUGAGCUUGCAAUUCGAACCCAAUACAUGAAUCAUGAUCGAAUUCUAUUCUCUCAGGAUAUUAUAGCUAACUAACUAACUAACUCAUAAGGAAUAUAGAUCCCAUGAAGCGAGAAAGAAAGAAGAUAAGCUGCUUGGUUGAAUGAAGCACAACCUGAUGAUGCCUAUUAUUUUCCAUAUGCAUACUCAAGUAGACGGCGAUCAAGGUCAAAAUGCCUGCAGAGAAGUCGCUGCAAAAAGAAAGAACCAAGAAGUUAAGAACAGACUACUUGGAUCACAAAAAGAAGCUAACUCAAUCUAUUGGUUGAAACAUCAAUAGAAAACCUCCUAGCUAUAGAAGGUGAUCCUCCAACAUCAUUCAUUGAAACUUGAAAGUCUCCGCGUAUAGACAUUAAGUAGGCCAUGUAUUUGGAAUAGAUUGGCUAAUACUAAUUAUAAUUUCAACGUAAUAGUUAAGGAAUACACAUUAAGAAUAAAUUUAGGUUGCUUCAAUUCAGAAGCAAUCUCGAGGAUGAUUUUGAUAUGCAUUAGUUUUGUUUAGUUGAAUAUUAACAUAACUAGGAUGAGAAUUCAAACCAGCUUCAAAGCACCUUCAUUAUUCACAAAGACAAUCCCACCAAAUUUGGUUGUCCAUGGCAGAUAAAGAAAAUUUCAGAAGCAGUAAAAUUCAUGAAAUAAAUGGUGAAUCAGUUUUAACUUUUCGCCUUCUUUUUUUUCUUUCCUUCUUCUAAUUAUAACUGAAAAUAAUAUUUGUUGCGAAAAAACUAAAAAGAUGAAAAUGAAAAUUGCCUGAUUGCAUCCUAAAAGGGUCUGCUAAUUUCACGAAUAUAUAUUGUUAAACGGUAGAAAAGAGAACACAGGUUUACGUGGAAAAACCCCAGAACAGGGAGAAAAAAUCACGAUAGAGACUCUUUUAUUAUUUUCACACACAAUGAAAGUUACAAGAGAAGACAACUUUAUAGGCUAUAAACUUAGGGAAUAAAUUUAGGGUAAAGUAAAAUAUUAAAAUACCUCAAGGCUAUAAACUAUCAACAAAGCCUCUUAUUUCCAAUGUACAUUAUACAAACAUACAUAUACAUACAUAUAUAUGUAUGCGUGUGAUACUUUGAAGUAGUAUCUUACUCUCAAAGAAAUGUGGGAAAAAGUCGACGUAAUAUUAUAUUAACAGGCAUUACCUACGUAAUAAAAGAAAUAGCAUCAGUAUGCAUUUUACACGAACUAAUGCAAGCAUGUUGUCUUCUCUAAUUAUCUGAAUUUGUACGCCCAAAAACAUUAACACCCCCAAAAGAAGGUUACCUUGGUUAUUGGAGGGUAUGAUUUUACUUCAAAAUCCAAAUCUGGAAGGCGAGCAAUCUCAGCUGCAUUCUCAAAUAAGAUAUAGGUAGGAAGCUGGUUCAUACUUCCUGAUAAAUUCAUUCGGAAGUUAUAAGAAAUUCUGAUUGCAAAGUCUUCACAAAACUGAAAAACAGCGUUCAAAUUUAGAACGAAAUCUUAAGACAAUUACCACCAAGUGAUAUUCCAAAUUUAGCAGCAACAUUUGGAAAGAGCCCAAGAUCAACUACUCCAAACGAUAGAUGUUUGUUUGAAUAUCUGCUUAAGAAGACGUGAAUACAAAUCUAAGCUACUUCAAGCAGAAAGUGUGAACAUAUGGGGGGAGGAGGGGAAAUUAGAACUACAAAAACAAUAUCGGUGUUUCAGAUCCAUGGAGUCAAUCUAGAAGUCUCAAGGGUGAAGAUUUCCAGGAUUUCAUAUGUGAAACAUGAAAAACUUUUAUAUUGAAUUUCAACAGAAAAGAUGUCACAAAAAAUAUAGAUUAGAAAAACUACUAAUACAGAAGCAACACAACUUCUUAUAAAUUUCUCUCCCUGAAUCCAUGAACAAAGUAAAAGGAGAAGUACUUACGUAACUGAUAGCUCAGGCAAGCAUCUGCUAGACCGUAUGCAAUCAGCUGAGAAAGAAACACGAAACUCAACCUACCAAUUCAAGGAAGCCAUUCAUUAAAGACUGAAGAAAAUGAGAGUUCUGCAUACAUGAUAAAAUGACAUACAGAUUAUUAGCAUUUGAACUUGUCAGCACAUUUACAGUUGCUCAAAGGUUCAAAUAUGGAUUUACGGACUUGCAGAUGUUGAUUCUCAAUUACUGGAAAUAAAGUUAAUUCUGAGGACCAAGUCAAUAGAUUCAAGUAAACAUCCCAAGAAAAAAAAGAACAGGAAAUUAAUUUUGAUGCUGGGAAUAUUAUGAAAAUUUCUACUGCACUAAAUUAUUCAACAGCUUGAUCUUCUUUACAUAAUCAUUAACUUAUUACUCUCAUUUUCUUUUCAUAAUCUAAAAGUGUCUAUGCCACCUUGCAGGCAUCUCGAAUAUACUCACAUGACAAUGUUUUACCCUAUUAUGUUUGGUUGCCAAAGUAACUCGUAAAAUAUUCAAUCCAAGUAGGUAGCUACCUAAAAAACACAAACAAAUUAGUUUGGGUAACAUGUUUGUGUAAGACACUUGGUCACUCCACACUUGUUGGACAUGAGUUGGACACUUGUUACCACAGUAGAUAUGUGUUAAACCUUAGGUGUACAAAGCCAAUAUGAGUCUAACAUUUGCUGGACACAUAUUGAGUACAUGUUAAGCAUAUUAAAUAGAAAAGUAAAAGUAUAGGAAAAAAAAACAAUGAAUUUUAAAAGAUAAAUACAUCAAACUCCUCAUUAAAGCAUACAAGUGCAUAAACUUGUUGACUUUGAGUUUUCUUCAUCUAUAUAUAUUUUCUUGAGAAUGUAUAUUUAGACAAAAUGUGUGUUGUUGAGGGUUUGUGUGGCUAUGUCCUACAUUUUUUAAAAAAGGCAUGUCAUCUAAGCCGCAUGUCACAUCAACAUCGACAUAACACAUCAUUUAAAAAAAUUUAAGACACAGAUAUGACAAGAACACGUUUAUUAAAACAAACAUUUUAAAAAUAUAAUAAUAUUUAAAAAUGAAGGAGAUUCAAAGUCAAUGAGUUGAUUCAUGUCCUCGCUUAAAAAAUUAAUUGGAUACAUUUUGCUCUCAAAUUUUAUUAUUUGUGUCAUAUAUGUGUUGGCUUGGUGUAUGUGAGAAGUGUUUGAUGCAUGUCUACCAAAUAUUGGUUCUAUUUUGACUUUGCACAACUAGUGUCUAACACACCUAUUGCACUAAAAAGUGUUUGAUACGUGUCUGAGAAUUGUCCAACACAAACAUGCUAGCGAAAGUGAAGUGUUCGUGUUUAUUAUCAUGUCAUUGUAUUCGUGUGUUGUGCCAGAUAUGAGUCUUGUACCCAUAGUUGUGCUUUUUAGAUGCAAUGGUACUUAACCUCAUUCCUUCUAAGCCCUUUAAGUAUUUACAUUGCCCCUAUUCAUCACUAGGCCAACCUAUCCC